AUGGAAUCAAGCGUGUGUGUGUUGGUAAGUUACCCUGCAGGAGAGCAUCUCUACGGUGCAGUCGUCGCGGGUCGGGGUGACGCGGAGGUCCAGGACCGGGGCGACCUGGAAGCCGAGGAAGCCCAUGGGGUGCAGCGUGCACCUGAAGGCGCCGGCCGGGCCCGACUCCGACUCCGGCUCCACCGGCGCGAAGCUCUGCAGCGCCCGGGUGUUGAGCAGGGACUCCACGCCGGCGGGGUGCCGCAGGAACUCGCCGAUGCCGCCCUGGCCCGGCAGCCCGUCCAGGAGCCUGAUGCUCUCCCGCCGCCGCGCCGACAGCCGGGCCCGCCUCCCUGA
rnacentral:rRNA from 1 species